rnacentral:tRNA from 1 species
GCCAAGGUGGCGGAAUUGGUAGACGCGCACGGUUCAGAGCCGUGUAUCAUUUAAUGGUAUGUGGGUUCAACUCCCACCCUUGGCA